rnacentral:rRNA from 1 species
UACGUAGGGUGCAAGCGUUUAAUCGGAAUUACUGGGCGUAAAGCGUGCGCAGGCGGUUUUGUAAGUCUGUCGUGAAAUCCCCGGGCUUAACCUGGGAAUGGCGAUGGAGACUGCAAGGCUAGAAUCUGGCAGAGGGGGGGUAGAAUUCCACGUGUAGCAGUGAAAUGCGUAGAGAUGUGGAGGAACACCGAUGGCGAAGGCAGCCCCCUGGGCUAACGAUUGACGCUCAUGCACGAAAGCGUGGGGAGCAAACAGG